CCAAUUCGCCCUUAGAGUUUGAUCCUGGCUCAGGACGAACGCUGGCGGCGGGCCUAACACAUGCAAGUCACUCGAGAAAGCGCCUUCGGGCGUGAGUACAGUGGCGGACGGGUGAGUAACGCGUAUGCAACCUACCCUUGAGCGGGGGACAAUCACGGGAAACCGUGGCUAAUACCGCAUAGAAUCUCGGUUGCGCCUGCAACCGAGAUCAAAGCCUUCGGGCGCUCUUGGAUGGGCAUGCGUCGGAUUAGCUUGUUGGUGAGGUAGAAGCUCACCAAGGCAACGAUCCGUAGCUGGUCUGAGAGGAUGAUCAGCCACACUGGCACUGAGACACGGGCCAGACUCCUACGGGAGGCAGCAGUGGGGAAUCUUGCACAAUGGAGGAAACUCUGAUGCAGCCACGCCGCGUGGAGGAAGACACCCCUAUGGGGCGUAAACUCCUUUUCUGCCUGAAGAAAACCCUGGUCUCCA
rnacentral:rRNA from 1 species